GCCUUCGUGGUGUAGUGGUCAGCAUGCUGGGUGCGUAUUCCAGAGGUCCGUGGUUCGAGUCCCGCCGAAGGUA
rnacentral:tRNA from 1 species